rnacentral:rRNA from 1 species
UACGGAGGGUGCGAGCGUUGUCCGGAAUCAUUGGGCGUAAAGGGCGCGUAGGUGGCCCGGUCAGUCUUUGGUGAAAGGCGCGGGGCUCAACCCUGCGGUCGGCCAGGGAUACUGCCGCGGCUCGAGCACUGUAGAGGCAGGCGGAAUUCCGGGUGUAGCGGUGGAAUGCGUAGAGAUCCGGAAGAACACCGGUGGCGAAGGCGGCCUGCUGGGCAGUUUAGCUGACACUGAGGCGCGACAGCGUGGGGGAGCAAACAGGG